GUACACGCUGUGACUAGCAUAUCAAUAAGCGGAGGAAAAGAAACUAACAAGGAUUCCCCUAGUAACGGCGAGUGAAGCGGGAAGAGCUCAAAUUUGAAAUCUUAAAGGGUUUCCCUUUACGAAUUGUAGUUUAAAGAAGUGUUUUCUGUUGAGGUUUUGGUAAAAGUUCUUUGGAAUAGGACAUCAUAGAGGGUGAGAAUCCCGUAUUUGACCUUUACUUUCACCUUUGUGAUACACUUUCAAAGAGUCGGAUUGUUUGGGAAUGCAGUCCAAAAUGGGUGGUAAAUUUCAUCUAAAGCUAAAUAUUGGCGAGAGACCGAUAGCGAACAAGUACCGUGAGGGAAAGAUGAAAAGAACUUUGAAAAGAGAGUUAAACAGUACGUGAAAUUGUCAAAAGGGAAGCGUUUGACACCAGUGUUGUUUUUCUGAAAAUCAAUUAAAGAACUGUUUAUGCUAAGCUGUUUAGACUUUAUCAGCUAACUGUUUAGUUUUGAGCUUUUCUUUAAUGCACUUUUCAGUUAACAAGUCAACAUCAAUUUCUUUUGCUGUAAAAAAGCUUGAGGAAGGUGGCUUGAGAUUCGUCUUAAGUGUUUAUAGCCUCUUGCCUAUGCAGUCGGAGAGAUUGAGGUCUGCAGCGUAGAUCCUUCGGGGCUAAAUGCAUUUGUGCUAAGUUAUAGCAUUUUAUAGACAACUUGUUGACUAUGAUUUGUCUUGUAGCUUACUCGCUUAUGUUAUUUUACCUACGCUUAGGAUGUUGACGCGCGUGUGUGCGUG
rnacentral:rRNA from 1 species